rnacentral:rRNA from 1 species
CAGCAGCCGCGGGAAUACGUAGGUGGCAAGCGUUGUCCGGAAUUAUUGGGCGUAAAGGGCUCGCAGGCGGUUUCUUAAGUCUGAUGUGAAAGCCCCCGGCUCAACCGGGGAGGGUCAUUGGAAACUGGGAAACUUGAGUGCAGAAGAGGAGAGUGGAAUUCCACGUGUAGCGGUGAAAUGCGUAGAGAUGUGGAGGAACACCAGUGGCGAAGGCGACUCUCUGGUCUGUAACUGACGCUGAGGAUCGAAAGCGUGGGGAGCGAACAGGAUUAGAUACCCCCGUAGUCCCUGUCUCUUAUAC